rnacentral:tRNA from 1 species
GAGGGUGUAGCUCAGUGGUAGAGCGUGCAUCUAGCAUGCACAAGGCCCUGGGUUCAAUCCCCAGUGCCUCCA